UUUAGGGUAAACAUGACCACGUAUGAUGUGUGUGUUAUUGGUACUGGUGUGAAUGGAAGUGGAUCGGCUAAUUCACUUCGAAGCAUAAGAAGAAAGUUUUAUAUUGUUAGAACAGGUUAAAUGACAUGUUAGAAGUAUUCAGUCAUGGCAGAGAAAAAAGAGAAAUGCUGCAAUGUUUUAAAUUCACAUGGUAUUCAAUAUAAUGUCCUAACGGCUGAAGAAAUCAACUGACCGUUUCCACUGUUAAAUUACCACGUCAUCAUUUCGGCAGUUUAGAACACAAAGGCGGCAUGCUGUUAGCUUUUAAAUGUGUGUUUGCUUUGCAGGUAGCGAAAGUGUCUGCUCGCUUUAGUAACCUCAGUUGGAAAAUUUUAAA